AGCACAGACGACGGCGCCGGAGGCGGGGCGGAGCGUGGCGUGCGUGCGUCGUGACGCGAUCCGCUGCGUCCGUCCCGCCGCAAGUCAAAGCGCUGUUGCCAGAGAGAAGACUGUGGCGGCGGCUAUGAAACCCAGCGUCGUGAACCUGCUUGGGCAGGACUUGGUGGUGGAGCGCCUCAAAAGUCGCUACGGACUGGGGGGCGGCUGCCCCGUCGAGGUGAGGCCUUGCCUUGCCUGCCGCCGGGGCGUUGGCGGUCGGACCGCGCGGAGCGAGCAUCAGAAGCGGCCUCCCCGCACCCCAGCGACAUGAUGCAGAAGUUGAGCACUUAACUGAAGUUCUUAAAGAAGGAAAGAAAGAAAAAAAGCAAGAGGUUAAGGUCCUCUUUUGAUGCAUUGAAAGAACUGAAUGAUAGCUUCAAAAAACAGACUGGAUUUCAUUUCAUCACCUCAGCAAGUUGAAACACGAAGAAUCUGGGGUGGACAGUGAGAAACCAGCACUUGGACUUGCUUCUCAGAGAUAUGACAUUCAGGAGAAGUGUGUGAAGGUUUGCUUUUGAGUUUGAAAUGUAUGACUCAGUGGACAUGAACAGUGAAAAAGGCAUUUAGUGGUAUAUUUUACAUGAGAAAAAAAUAUUGAAAGUAUUUUUGAUAGCAAAUUAAUCAUUCCAAUAGUCAGUUCUAAAAAGAUUCAUUUCAGACUUAGUUAAACCUAAUUACCUCCCCCCCCCAAAAAGAAAAAUGAGUUAAUUUGAAUAAUUAAUGGAGGUACUGGGGAUUGAACGCAGGACCUUGUGCAUGCUAAGCACACGCUCUACCACUGAGCUACACCCUCCCCUCGUACUUACAUUUUUAUUAACAUGAUGGAAAUUUCAUUUUAAAAACAGACCAGAAAUUGAAAACCUACUCCAAAAAUUGCAAAGUAACUAUAUUAGAGUUAGGCAGUUAAUCAGUGAUAUAAACAAUUUCUGAUACAUAUCAUUUUAGGAUUCAGAUCCCACUAAAAUAAUUUUAUUUUGCUUUUUGUCAUGAAGGGAUAAAAAGUAUUUUCAAGGGGCUUCUCAUUAACAAAGAGAAAUGACUGUUUUCUUAAAUUACAGACGUUAAUUUGGAUAUUGAUACUCACGGUUUCCAGUCAGUAUGAAUUGUCAUUAGAGAUUCAUUUGUAUUCCACAAGAAAUACAUUAAAACUCUGAAGGGUGGAUAUCUAAAGUUGUUUGUUUGAUUUAACAUUUUCAGAAACGGUUUCAUAAUUAUUAAACAGGCCAGGGUUUCAUUUUAGGAUAUCAUUUCCAGUUUCAUCCUGGCCUGAAAAGUUUCUUCUAAAUGCCUUUUGUGCUAGAUAGGAUAAUGCCCCAGAUGUUCAUAACCUAAUCCCUGGAACCUGUCAGUAGGUUACAAGUAAAUUAAGGUUGUUGAUCAGCUGACCCUUCAAACCAGUCAGGAUUAUCUGGGUGGGUCCAUUAAUCACAGGACUGCUUCAAACCAGACAGAAGGGACAGAAGAGGAGGUCAGAGACUCGGCUCAUCCUUGCUGGUUUUGAAGGUGGAGGAAGAGGGUCACACCCAAGGAGUGGGAGUUGCUUCUGGAAGCCAGGAGUUACCCUCCGCUGACAGCCAGCAAGGAUCUCAGUCCUACAAGCACAAGACAGUGAGUGUAGUCAGCAGCUAGAGGAGCAGCAUGUGGCCCCCUGGUCUCCAGAAAGGAGCCCAGCUCUGCUCACACCUGGAUUUUAGCUGGUGAGAAUCCAUAAUUUGUUAUGGCAGGAAUGGGAAACAAAUGCACCUUUGUUUAGAAUUUCUCUUUUAGCACCUCCGUCAACUAUUCUGUUUAUAUCUAGCCUCACUUUAGAAUUAGCUGCUGACUAGGAGGGCCUCCAGUAUUAAAGUUCUGUAGAGAAAUACUGUUUGUUAGAACUGAACUAGGAUAUUAAGGCUAACAGUUGAUAAUUUUAGCAGAUAGUGUAUGGGUCACAUAAUCUGUUUUUACAUUAGAUUACUGGCAUAGGGAAUAUUUAGCAUGUGUUUGGAAAAGGGUUCUUUUUGUCAUCCUUAAAUAAGGAUCAUUACUUAUUGACUUAUUCUAGAUUUAGUUUUUGGUGAGCCUUGAUCUUUAAAAUAUUUUCAAUUUAUGGUUCCUAGUAUAUUAGUAAAGGUAGAAUAAUGUUAAAGCUUAUUAAUAGUCUUCUUCAUAGAAAAAGAGAAGGAUAAAUAGCACCAAAUUUAUUAAUUACUUAAUUGAAUAUACAUGUGGCCAAAAGCAGCGAGUAUUCAGAUAUUUUUAGGUGUAUGUACAAUUCCUGAUUUAAAAUAAGGUAGUCUUUUUUUGUGACAUUAUUGUAUGAAUCACUUUGAUGGCCCCUAUGUUUAAGAAUACUAGUGUAAUGGAAAAUAGCGCAGAAUCAUGGCUCUACAAAUUACUUUUGGGGACUUCUGACACAUUUUGUUGUAUAUUUUAUCACAGCCAUGAUUCAUUAUCAUUUGAAGAGCGAUUUAAUAUUUUAAAACACAAACAACUAUUGGGGACUAAAUAUGGUAUAUUUUAAGUAGAAGAUCAAACCACAUAAGAAACCGCCUUAAUAAGAUCAGUUUUCCUUGUGUGGCUCAAAAACAGAUCGGUGGAAUAUUUUCAAAGAAACGGCAAAAUAAGUAAUUCAGUAUAACUUAAAGUGGAAUCGGCUGCUUGAAGUUGCAACCUGAAGUUACACUGAUGAUUGGAAAAAUACCUGUAGAAAGAAGAUUGAUGUGACCAAUAUGGCAGAUUGGGGAGCUCCAGGCCCUUGUUCCCUAGUGGAGAUGCUGAGGUAACAACAGGGUACUGACCAGACAUAUGUUUGUGAGAAUUCUAGAGACCAGUUGAGAAACUGCAGCACCCAAGCCAACAUGUAACCAGGAAGAGGCUCCAUCGAAGGGAAGGAAAGUUUGUGACAUUUGGGAUGCCUGUGUCCCUUUCAUUGUAGCCCAGUGCAGUCAGGAGGACACACUCCUGUAACCAUGGCUCCUCCCUGGGGACAGAAACAGGCGAGGACUGUGUGUCCAACAUUUUACCUUGUCGGGUACUGGCUGCAGGACUGGUUUCUGUUUUACUUGACUAGGUACUGACGAGAAUGGUGACAUUAUUUGGAAGCUUCAGAAAAUAGUCGUGAAUGCUGCAGUGCAUUAGAGCUGCACAGAUCUACACUUCUCCAGGCAGAUGCCAGGGGAGAAGGAGUACAGGCUCCCGAGAAGAAAACAGGUAAGCCACGUUGGAAAUUGAGACAGUUAAAGCACACACACAUAAGGCCAGAGAAGACACCUCCCUAGAAAAGUUUUGAGAGGUCCCUGAACCACAAGCUGGACCGGUGUUGAAGGUCUUCCUCUCCACAAAGCCACUCAUAAGGACUAGGAGAGGCAGUGGUUUUUACCACAUGCCAAAGUAAAAAUAAAAAAAGGAAAGAAAGACAUAUGGCUCAGUCAAAGGAACAAAACAAACUCCAGAACCGACCGUAAAGAAAUGCAGAUCUCCGAACUUCCAGGCAGAGAAUUUUAAAACUCUCUUAAAGAUGUUCAGUGAGCUAAAUAAAAGAGAACACAGAUAGACAACUAAGCAAAAUCAGGAAAACAGUGUGUGAGCAAAUUGAAAAUAUCACGAAAAGAUAGAAAUUCUAAGAAAGAACCAAAUGACUCUGGGAGCUAAAGAAUACAAUAAUUUUAACUGAAAAACUUCAUUACAGAGGCUCAACAGCAGACUUCAUCAGGCAGAAGAAAGACUCAGCAAAGAUGAAGAUAGGUUAUAGAAGUCAUUAAGUCAGGAGCAAAAAGUGGGGGAAACUGAAGAGAGCCUGAGGGACUUGCAGAACAUCAUCAGGUGGACUGAGUGGACUAACGUAUGCAUUAUGGGAGACCAGAAAGAGAAGAGAAAGGGGCAGAGAUUAUUUGAAUAAAUGAUGGCCGAAAACUUCCCAAGACUGAGGAAAUAAAUGGACAUACAAUUCAAGAAGCUCAACAAACUCCAACUAGGAUACCCACCCCCAAAACUCAUUCUGGGACACAUUGUAAUUAAACUUCUGAAAGUCAAAGACAGACUGGUAAUCAUCAGGAGAAAAGUGAUUUUUUCACAUACAAGUGAGCUUUUCUAAAAACACCUUGGAGAUUUUGCGGGUUUGGUUCCAAACCACUGCAGUAAAAUGAGUCAGAUUAAUGGUAUGGUUUCCCAGUUCAUAUAAAAGUGACGUUUACACUGUACUGUAGUCUGUUAAGUGUGCAAUAGCAUUAUGUCAAAAAACAAUGUAAAUACCUUAAGAAAUGCUGUACCUGAGCCUUCAAUGAGUUGUAAUCUUUUUGCUGGUGGAGGAUUUGAAAUGCUGUUGGAAAAAUGGUGCCAGUAGACUUGCUCAGUGCAGGAUUGUCACAAACCUUCAGUUUGUAAAAACUGCCAUGUCUGCUAUGUACAGUAAAGCAAAGCAUGAUAAAACGAGGUCUACCUAUGUCAGUGGGUUUCUUAGCGGAAACUUUGCAGGCCUGGAGGCAGUGGGAUGAUGUACCAAUCAUGAUACAGUAUCUGCAGAAUUGUCCUUCAGAAAUGAAGGUGAGAUUAAGACUUUGCUAUAUAAACAAAUGUUCAGUGAGUUCAUGACUAAUAGACGGCCCUGUGAGAAAUGUUAAUAGAGUCCUGCAGUUUGAAAUGAAAGCACACCAAACAGCUACAUGAAGCUGUAUUAUAGAGUUCUUCAGUAAAGGGAAAUACAUGGGCAAAUACAGUAACCAGUAUUGUAAUUUUGGUGCAUAAGUCCACUUUUAAUUCUUGCAUAGAAUUUAAAAGACAAAAGUAUAAAAAAUAAUUGUAAAUCUGUGCUAAUGAGUUGUACAAAGUAUAAAGAUGUAAUUUGUGACAUCGAUAAUACAGGUAGGGUGGUGGAGCUGUAACAUAGUAUUUUGAUAUGUAACUGAAGUUUAUACUUUAAAAGACUUUUGACUUUAACGUGUUUUGUGUAAUUGCAGUGGUAACUGCAAAGAAAAUAUCUGGAGUAUACACAAAAGGAAAUGAGAAGUAGAUGAAAGUAUAUCACUACAAAAAAAAAAUCAGUGAAACAUGAAAGAAAGAAGGCAGUAUAAGAAAAAAGGAGGGACCAAAAGCUCUAAGGUACACAGAGCACAGGUAAAAAAGGGCAACAAUCAUUCCCUGUUAGUAAUUGCUCUAAAUGUAAAUAAAUUAAACUCCCCAAUCAAAAGACAUAAGAUUGGCUGAAUGAAUUAAGAAAACAGCAUUGAACUGUUUGCUGCCUACAAGAGACUCACUUCCCCUAACCCCUGGCAACAUCAUUCUGCUUUGUAUGUUUCUUAAAAACAACCAGCUUAAAAAAAUCCUCAUGCCUAAGAGACACAUUUUGGGGUGGCAAAGUUUGCUCCCCUGCAAGGACACGAUGCUAAGUGAAAUAAGGCGAGAUACUGUGUAAUUCCGCGUGUAUGAGGUCCUUGGAAUAGUUAAAUUCAUGGAGACAGAAAGUAGAAUGAUAGUUGCCAGGGGUUAGGGGAAGGAGAAGAGUUAAUGUUUAACAGGUAUAGAGUUUGUUUUACAAGAUGAAAAAAGUUCCGUGGAUGGUGGUGCUGGUAGCACAACAGUGUGGAUGCACUUAAUGCCACUGAACUGUACACUUCUAAAUGGGUAAGACAGUUGUAGGGGAGCAGAAUUUGCCACCCCAAAAUAUGUCUCUUUGGCAUAUUAUUUUAAGCUGGUUAUUUUCUAAGAAACAGCAGAUGUGGGAAAAACUCUGAAAACCAAGCAGGAGUUACCCUCUGGGAAGAAACAUUUACAUCUGUAAAGGAAAUCUCCAUUUGUUAAGGAUGUCUCCCUCUUCUGUACCAGAAGGAGGAGAAGGACUAAAUCUCUAGAAAGUCUUAUCUAUGAAAGCAAUGACAGACCCGCCUAACCACCUUACCUUUGUUUGCUGAGCUUAUCCUGGUAACUUCUGAUAACUGACUCUCUCCACCCUCAACAUUCUCUUUAAUUUUUAGCUGGAGAUGAUAGUAUUAAGGUGAGAGCUUCAACCAUUUUGGCAAGUUAGUUUUCCUGGGUCUCUCCCAUGUAUAUGUGUUCUUAAAGUUUUGCUUGAUUUUCUCCUGUUAAUCUGUUUCAUGUCAAUUUAAUUCCUAAACCAGCCAAAAGAACCUAGAAGAGUAGAGGAAAAUUUCUCCCUCCCCAAACAGAUCUUUUGUAUGCAAUUUGGAAGGAGAAACUGAAGUUGCAUCCGUAUUGUUUUCUCUCUGGGGAGGUUGGAGCUUCUCUGUUGUUCCUUAUUGCUGUCUUGUUGGGGAGGGGUAGCAGCUGGGCCCAGGGCAACUCCUCUUACUGCUGAAUCUCCUCCUUUAACUUCUAAUUCUGUCCCAGGUGCAUGUUUAGCUGUGUCCAAGGGCACCUGCUUCCGUUGCAGAACACACUUAACAUCAGAUAGAGGCUUGGGGGCAGUGAGAGCCACGUGUGCUGUAUCCUUGGGGGUUCCACUCUCAUGGGUUCCAGAUUGAUCUUGCUCCAUACAUAGCCCCCUUCACAUCCCUCUCCCCUUCCUGCCUGCCCUGCUGACUUCAGACUGACACCAGAUGCAGAACUUAACAAGCUUCCACGACUGCACGUAGUCAAAUUCUUAGA